rnacentral:rRNA from 1 species
UACGAAGGGGGCUAGCGUUGCUCGGAAUCACUGGGCGUAAAGGGUGCAUAGGCGGGUUUUUAAGUCAGGGGUGAAAUCCUGGAGCUCAACUCCAGAACUGCCUUUGAUACUGAAGAUCUUGAGUCCGGGAGAGGUGAGUGGAACUGCGAGUGUAGAGGUGAAAUUCGUAGAUAUUCGCAAGAACACCAGUGGCGAAGGCGGCUCACUGGCCCGGUACUGACGCUGAGGCACGAAAGCGUGGGGAGCAAACAGG